UUUGAGAUAUCAAAUGAGUGUAUCAAAUGUUUUAUUUUCAGACUGAGCUCAUCGUCCUUUAUAGUCAAUGGGAUAUUUUAGUCUAAAAAAGCCAUCCACCAGUCCCUGUCACCUACAACCACAUGGUGGCGCCAUUACAGCUCCCUACACUUACCAUGUCAUUCAUUCUGUACUGUACAAGGCAGCAGAGGUAACACACUGCAUUUCAUAGCACACUGAGAUGACAACCUGAUGAACUGAAUUCCUCCUCUCCUCAGAAAAGCUGUUCAGACAUGGAUAUUGUGGAAUUGCGACUGUGGAAUACAUUCCUAUUUGCUCUUUGUUGCUUUGAAUGCAGAGCUGAGGACUCGGUUGAUCAGCCAGGAGGAUUUAUCACUGCUACUGAGGGAGGUUCAGUAACUCUGCCCUGUACUUACACCAGCACCAGUUCAGUGCCGUAUCUGUUCUGGUACCAACAGAAACCUAAUGGAUUCCCUGCAUACAUACUGUGGAAAUUCUCAACAACAGGGUCCAAAGAUGACAUUUUUAAAGAGAGAUAUGACGCCAAUCUCACCUCAAACUCAGUUCCUCUGACCAUCCAGGAUAUGCAGGUGUCUGACUCUGCUGUGUACUACUGUGCUCUGAGGCCCACAGUGACAGCUGCAGACUCAAUGUUCAUGCAAAAACACAGGCUCCGUAGUCACACAGAGAAUUCAUAUUGAUAGAGGAUAACAUCUUUAUGUUUAAAGAUUGUGAUAUUGUAUUACUAUAAUAUAUUUUACAAAGUUGAUCCGUCAA